GAUAAACAGAUACCUCAUAUUAAUAGGUAAGUGAUCUUGCAAGGAACUCAAGGUGAUGGAAAACAGCAUGCGGUAAACAGUUUGUCAUCACAUUUCAUCAGACAAAACCCUUUGAAGGGAGUAGGCACCUCGUUUCGCCCUGCGUGAUUCAUCAGCACCAGCAGAGACUCACACAAACCCACGGAUCCCUUCCAAAGGGGAUCGGAAGAGCCGAGUGAACACAGAAGUGGGACCCCAAUGGGACCCGCGUGGGUGACCUCGGAGAGGUCAGCCACUGCCUCGGCUUCAGCGGCAGUGUGUACACAAGGGCGACCCCAGCCUCACCUGCCCUGACUAUGGCGCUGAGGACUGGAAGAUGAAGGCUUGUGGUGGCUCCUCUGCAAGGCCACCAGGUCUGACCUCUCUGCCCAGGUGACCAGAGCCACCCUCUGUCUGCACCUGGUCGCCUGCUCUCUGUAGGGUGGGCAGCUGCUCCUAUGCUGGAGCUAAGGAGCGUAAACAACCAAAUGCCAGGGCUGGAAAGGCCCAAGCAGCUGUGGGCCUGUGUUUGGGAUUGCAGACGAGUUGGCCUCCAAGGUGUGUGCUUAGUCAGGGCGUCUUAAACGCAGAGCAAAGGCCUCCAGGGCCCUCUUCCCGCCUCGCCCCACUAUCUAACAAGCCUGAGAAAGCGUUGUGUCCUCGUCUAAGGGCUGGCUGCUACACGAAUCCCAGCCAUCCAGAGCUAUCACACAUUGGAAGUGGGAAGUGAUCCUGGAGCUCAGCCAACUGCAUGUGCCCUACAAAUGGGGGAAACUGGCUCAGAGAGGUGAAGUGACUUAUCCAAGGUCACAAAGCCAGUUGCUGAUAGGCUCAGCCAUAGCACACUUCUAGGCAUUGGGACCCAACAACUCCCUGCCACCUCAUAGGACAAGCAUAAGCAAGACCAAACCUCAAGUGGUAUCUUCAAAAUGUCACCCAUGUCCCCGGAGAUGUAGAACAAAUGAAGUCCUGUUCAGUUCCACUGAUCUUUCUUCCAUCGAACUGAGUUGACUGCUUGACUAAAUUAAUCAAAUGGGUUUAUGAAACAUUCAGGCAAAACCUGAAUCAGACAUCUUCACCCCAAAUCCCCAUUCAUUUCUCUAGGAAUACAUCUUGACGUAGACUGAACACAAAUA
rnacentral:lncRNA from 12 species